CCUACGGGUGGCUGCAGUGGGGAAUAUUGGACAAUGGGCGAAAGCCUGAUCCAGCCAUGCCGCGUGUGUGAAGAAGGCCUUCGGGUUGUAAAGCACUUUCAGUGGGGAAGAAAGCCUUGGGGCUAAUACCCUCGAGGAAGGACAUCACCCACAGAAGAAGCACCGGCUAACUCCGUGCCAGCAGCCGCGGUAAUACGGAGGGUGCGAGCGUUAAUCGGAAUUACUGGGCGUAAAGCGCGCGUAGGCGGUCUGAUAAGCCGGUUGUGAAAGCCCCGGGCUCAACCUGGGAACGGCAUCCGGAACUGUCAGGCUAGAGUGCAGGAGAGGAAGGUAGAAUCCCCGGUGUAGCGGUGAAAUGCGUAGAGAUCGGGAGGAAUACCAGUGGCGAAGGCGGCCUUCUGGACUGACACUGACGCUGAGGUGCGAAAGCGUGGGUAGCAAACAGGAUUAGAUACCCCUAGUAGUC
rnacentral:rRNA from 1 species